rnacentral:rRNA from 1 species
UACGGAGGGGGCUAGCGUUGUUCGGAAUUACUGGGCGUAAAGCGCACGUAGGCGGCUUUGUAAGUUAGAGGUGAAAGCCUGGUGCUCAACACCAGAACUGCCUUUAAGACUGCAUCGCUUGAAUCAUGGAGAGGCGGGUGGAAUUCCGAGUGUAGAGGUGAAAUUCGUAGAUAUUCGGAAGAACACCAGUGGCGAAGGCGGCCCGCUGGACAUGUAUGACGCUGAGGUGCGAAAGCGUGGGGAGCAAACAGG